rnacentral:lncRNA from 1 species
CUCCAUUUUAAGCCGACCGAUGUUGAACAUGUGAUAAUAAUAAUUGUAACGAACGCGGUUUCGUAGCUUUUUGGCCCAGGAGACUAAUAUAUGGGUCUCAAACUGGACUGAACCGGUUGCUUCACGACGAUGGACAUGAUGAUGAUGAUGAUGAUGAUGAUGAUGGACUGGUGUGUCUGGGAUGUGAACAUGAUGUAGCCUCCAGAGUAAGUGUUUCAGAGGCCGCGAGCUGUGAGGCAGAAGUCCAGAAAACCCUCCUCUUUUGA